rnacentral:misc_RNA from 1 species
CUGAGGUAUGCUCGGUGUCGCGCCAGCGCGCCGGUUACCCGCCCAUAUGUCAUCAGUGCUGGCCCCCCUAUCUGCCUUCGGGUGUAUGGGGGACAGGAAAAUUCACUUCGGUCGAAGUGUUGUGUGCUCUCCCUGAGAGGGGAGGGAAUGUGACCGCGACCGGCCGUAUUUUACACUCAUUGUAAGAGCAUGAAGUCUGAAAUGAAAAUGAAAAAUUAAGCA